UGUGUAACGGAUAACCGUAAUCUGCAUAGAUAAGUAGAUAUCUGUGCUGACCAGUUUUGUGACGUAAGAAUUAGGUUAGGAAAUUUAUUCCAAAGAAUGUAUUCUCGAAAGAAACGGUGAAAAAAUUUCGUCGCCGGCUACUGAAGAUUUCAAAUUUCUUAACUGAAUACUCAUUUAUUCACAUUUGAAUGGACAGAGAUUAUUAAAUAUGGAUAAUUUGAUCAUUCCAUUAUGUAGGUUGAUGUAGGUUCAUGAAGGAGUAUCCUUAUACGUGUAGAUUCGAAAUGAAAAUGGAGGCAAAUGAAAUUGAUAUGACGAUUGGGUGUUCAGAGUUUGAAGAUGACUUUAAGACUUAUUUAGGAAAAAUGGAAGAUGUAGAUAUUUCUGAACAAUUUAUAGAUGAGAAUGGAAUUCAUGAGAGGACAGUAUACUUGGAAAAUAUUAAUGAAAAUGACUUGAAGCAUCCAUCCAAAUAUAACAGUUCUCAUAAUGAUUCUUUGAGAGCAAAAGAAUCACUCAAAAUUCAUAGAGAAUUUUCUGAUUCCAAUAUAAAGCAACAUAAGUGUCACCUAUGUGAUUGUGCUACAAAUCAGAAAUCAACUCUAAAACGACAUAUAAAUUCAGUCCAUAUCAAUUUGAAGGAACAUAAGUGUCACCUGUGUGAUUAUGCUACAAAUCAGAAAAGGUCUCUCAUUCGACAUAUGAAUUGUGUUCACUUGAAUAUAAAGGCACAAAAGUGUCACAUGUGUGAUUUUACUACAAAUCUGAAAUAUCAACUCAAAAGUCAUGUGACUUCGGUCCAUUUCAAUUUGAAGGAACAUAAGUGUCACCUGUGUGAUUAUGCUACCAAUCAGAAAGUGCAUCUCGAACGACAUUUGAAUUGUGUUCACUUAAAUUUGAAGGCGCAUAAGUGUCACCUGUGCGAUUUUACUACAAAUCUGAAAAGUCAUCUCAAAACUCAUGUAAUUUCGGUCCAUUUCAAUUUGAAGGAACAUAAAUGUCAUCUUUGUGAUUAUGCUGCAAAUCGGAGAUAUACUCUCAAAAUACAUAUAAAAUCAGUUCAUUUAGAAUUGUAUGAACAUAAAUGUCAUCUGUGUGAUUUUGCUACAAAUCGGAAAUAUACUCUCAAAAGUCAUUUAACUUCAGCCCAUUUCUGUUUGAAGGCACAUAAAUGUCACCUAUGUAAUUUUGCUGCAAAUCAAAAAGGGAAUCUCAAUCGCCAUAUAAAAUCUGUUCAUUCAAAUUUAAAGGAACAUUAGUGUGACCUGUGUGAUUAUGCUUCAAACCAGAAAAUGAAUCUGUAACAACUCAUAAAUUCAGUUCAUUAACAAUAGCAGGAACAUUAUUUUCUCCUGUGUGAUUAUGCUACUUAUUUAUUUGAAAAUGGAUCAUAAAAGACAUACUACUAUGGCUGUUGAAUAGAAAAUCAACUUUAACCAUAGAAAACAAAGUCUUAAUCUAUAAAAGCAUAUUCAGACCAAUUUGGACAUAGGAAAUAGAGCUCUGAGGAUGCAGCAAAUCAUCAAAUACGAAAAUCCCCCAGACGUUUCAAUCUAAGACCUUGCCAAUGAUAGCAAAUGCUCCAUGGUACCAAACACGAUGAUUUGGAGGUCCAUAUGUUUGUGAGAUAAUAAGAUAACAUUCCACAAAAUAAGAGACUCGCACCAAUGAUCGCGAAAACUCACUCGUCAACGAACUUUCCAAUUGACAUUCAACGAUUGAGAUAUAAUUUUAUGUCAAUGUAAUGAUGAAAUAAAAAUGUUUUAUAUCUUCAAGUCCUCCCCUAACAUUUUAAAAGGAAUGAUGCCACCUCAAAAUAAAUUUGUAUCUUAGGCAAAUGGUGCAAAAUGCUAAUUUGUUUAAUUCCUUGAAUGGCAGUUCUUUUCAAUGCAAACAUGAAUAAGGCAAAGAGGCCACGCUCAGGUUUGUUAACCCAUCAGCCGAAUCUAGUGACAAAUUUCACAUCUAAUCAUUCAUUUUUUUACUAAACAAUUGAAUAAUGUAAUGAAAGGCAUGGCAAAUAAUAAUAAUAAAUGUAUUUGUGGCCAUCGACCUGAGUCCUUCAGCCAAUGGCAAAUAUAUUUGUAUAAAAGUUGUUUUGAAUAUUUCAAGUAUGCUGAAAAUAUUCAUCAGAGAAAUUGUAAAUAUAAAAAGUAAAAAAUGUCCCAGCUAUUUCUUAGGUGCCAAUACCUUCCCUAGGUAUUGGAAAUGAAAAAAUUAUUGAUAUUUGUAUCGACUUGGAUUUCAAAAAAUUACCACAAGUCCAACCACACAUCAUAUUAACAACAGAUUCCUACUAUACUGCCAGAAUCACUUAUUUGUUCUACUUAUCCAGCAGGGGGCGUGAAAAACAAUGUUCGACAAAAUGGCGAAAGUUCUUAGUUUAAUUUUUAGGAGUGGUGCAUAAACCAGCCCUAUAUUCUAAGAAAUAAUCCAAUUUCUUGCAUAUGUUUGAAAAUAAAAUCACUUCAUACAUCGAAUUCAAGAAAGAGUUUGCAAAAUAGAUUUCUAAUAAUGCGACAUACAUAGAAGUAGUAUUAUUUAUACGUAUUUUUUUCAAAAUGAAAGUGGAGGCAAAUGAAAUUGAUAUGUACCUAAUGUGAAAAUAAAUUCUUGAGGUGGUGAAUGUGAAUGCAUAAUCUCCUUGUCACAGAAUAAAUGAAUGUUUAACAAAUAGUGCCUCAAAUUUGAAAAAUAAAGAAGCAACUGAAUCGAUGCCUAAUAAAAGCUGAUUGGAAGGCUUCUGUUUUUAAUUUACCCAAGUGCAAUUAUUUAACUUCAAUUGUCAACGUGUUAAGAAAUAUCAAGAAGUCAGAAUUUGGAGAAAACUUCAAAACUCAUGUAGAAAAAACAGAAGAUGUUGAUAUAUCCGAACAAUUUAUUGAUGAGAAUGGAGUUCAUGAGAGAACAAUAUACCUGAAAAAUGUUGAUGAAACUAAUUUGGGACAUUCAUUUAAACACAAUGAUUUUCAUGAUGAAUCUUCAAAAACAGAAGAAUCACCACAAUUUCUUGAAGAAUCUUAUCAUAUAAAUUCAGAAAAACAUAAGUGUCACUUGUUUGAGUUUGAAACAAACCAGAAAAAUCUUCCUGAACAACAUCAAAAUUCUGUUCAUUUGAAAUUGAAGGAACAUAAGUGUCACCUGUGUGAUUUUGCUGCAAAUCGUAAAUGGCAUCUCCAACAUCAUAUAAAUUCAGUUCAUUUAAAAUUGAAGGAACAUGAGUGUCACCUGUGUGAUUUUGCUACGAAUACUAAGGCGCACCUCUUGAGACAUAUAAAUGCAGUUCAUUUCAAUUUGAAGGAACAUAAGUGUCACCUGUGUGAUUUUGCUACUAAUGAGAAAGGGCAUCUCAAUAAACAUAUAAAUUCAGUCCAUUUAAAUUUGAAGGGACAUAAGUGUCACCUGUGUGAUUAUGCUACAAGUCGUAAAGAGUUUCUCAAAAUACAUAUAGAUUCACUUCAUUUCAAUUUAAAGGAACAUAAAUGUCACUUGUGUGAUUUUGCUUCAAAUCGUAAAUGGAGUCUCAAACAACAUAUAGAUUCAGUUCAUUUAAAAUUGAAUGAAUAUAAGUGUAAUUCAUGUGAUUUUGUUUCAAAUCAUAAAAUGAGUCUCAAACAACAUAUGGAUUCAGUUCAUUUAAAAUUGAAUGAAUAUAAGUGUCACCUGUGUGAUUUUGUUGCAUAUCGUAAAGGGAAUCUCAAACAACAUAUUGAUUCAGUCCAUUUAAAAUUGAAGGAACAUAAGUGUGACCUGUGUCUUUUUGCUACAAAUUCGAAACGUGAUCUCAAACAACAUUUAGAUUCAGUUCACUUAAAAUUGAAUGAAUAUAAGUGUCACCUGUGUGAUUAUGCUGCAAACCAGAAAUCUACUCUCAAACAACAUAUAAAUUCAGUUCAUAUCAAUUUGAAGGAACAUAAGUGUCACCUGUGUGAUUUUACUACAAAUAGUAAGGGGUAUCUCAAACAACAUAUAAAUUCAGUCCAUAUCAAUUUGAAGGAACAUAAGUGUCACCUGUGUGAUUAUGCUACUAGUCUGAAAGGAAAUCUCAAAAUACAUAUAAAUUCUGUUCAUUUAAAAUUGAAGGAACACAAUUGUCACAUGUGUGAUUAUGCUUCAAGUCUGAAGAAGAGUCUCAAACAACAUAUAGAUUCAGUCCAUUUAAAUUUGAAAGAACAUAAAUGUCACCUGUGUGAUUUUAGUACAAAUUGGAAAUCGUGUCUUAAACAACAUACCAACACAGUUCAUUCGAGCGUAUCUCAAUGAACAUAUCAAUUGAGUUCACUACUAAUCGGAAAAAAUCAUCUCAAAUGUUCUGUUACUCAAACCACAUGUCAACACACUCCAUUUCAAUUUGAAGCAACAUAAGUGUCACCUUUGUGAUUAUGCUACAAAUCGUAAAUGGGAUGGUAAAUGAGAUAUAGAUUCAGUUAAUUUAAAAUUUAAUGAACUCAAGUGUCAACAGUGUGCUCAUUUUAUAAAAAGUAAAUAGGAUCUCAAACUACAUAUAGAUUCAUUCAUUCAAAAUUGAAUAAACAUAAGUAUCUACUGUGUGAUUUUGCUACAAAUCGUAAAGUGAAAUUCAAACAACAUAUAGAUUUAGUUGAUUUCAAUUUGAAGAGCCAUAAGUUUCAUUUGUGUGAUUUUGCUACAAAUCAUAAAUGGGAUCUCAAACAACACAUAAAUUCAGUUAAUUUAAACUUGAAUGAACACAAGUGUCACCUAUGUGAUUGUAAUACAAAAUGUAGGUGGGAUCUCAACAAAUAAAUUUUUUUCAUUUGAACUAGAGACAGCAUUCAGAUACGGUCCAUUUGAAUUUCAACAAACAAAAUAGUAUAAUUCUGGAAAUGUGAUCCAAACCGUAAAGCUUGGCGUAUAAUAAUAAAUUAUUCAAUAUUA